rnacentral:rRNA from 1 species
AUAGGAAGAAUAGCCUUCGGGUGCGACGGUACUAUUUCAGAAAGCACCGGCUAACUUCGUGCCAGCAGCCGCGGUAAUACGAAGGGUGCAAGCGUUGUUCGGAAUUAUUGGGCGUAAAGCGUGCGUAGGCGGACUGUUAAGUCUGGUGUGAAAUCCCUCGGCUCAACCGAGGACGUGCAUUGGAUACUGGAAGUCUUGAGUCCCGGAGAGGAGAGCGGAAUUCCUAGUGUAGAGGUGAAAUUCGUAGAUAUUAGGAGGAACACCAGUGGCGAAAGCGGCUCUCUGGACGGUGACUGACGCUGAGGCACGAAAGCAUAGGUAGCAAACAGGAUUAGAUACCCUGGUAGUCUAUGCCGUAAACGAUGGACACUAGUUGGUGCGGGUAUUGACCCCUGCGCUGACGAAGCUAACGCAUUAAGUGCCCCGCCUGGGGAGUACGGCCGCAAGGCUAAAACUCAAAGGAAUUGACGGGGGCCCGCACAAGCGGUGGAGCAUGUGGUUUAAUUCGACGCAACGCGAAGAACCUUACCUGGGCUUGACAUCCCGAUCGCACCCCUUGGAAACUUGGGGGUCAGCUUGGCUGGAUCGGUGACAGGUGCUGCAUGGCUGUCGUCAGCUCGUGUCGUGAGAUGUUGGGUUAAGUCCCGCAACGAGCGCAACCCUCGCCUUUAGUUGCCAUCAUUAAGUUGGGCACUCUAGAGGGACUGCCGGUGAUAAGCCGGAGGAAGGUGGGGAUGACGUCAAGUCCUCAUGGCCCUUAUGGGCUGGGCUACACACGUGCUACAAUGGCGCUGACAGAGGGCAGCUAGCUCGCGAGAGUAAGCUAAUCCCAAAAAGGCGCCUCAGUUCAGAUUGCACUCUGCAACUCGAGUGCAUGAAGUCGGAAUCGCUAGUAAUCGUGGAUCAGCAUGCCACGGUGAAUACGUUCCCGGGCCUUGUACACACCGCCCGUCAAGCCACGGAAGAAGAGAGCGCUCUAAGUCGUGAUACUAACCUUCGGGAGUUAGCGCCUAAAGCGAGAUUUUUAACUGGGGCUAAGUCGUAACAAGGUAGCCGUACCGGAAGGUGCGGCUG